rnacentral:ncRNA from 1 species
AACUCGAUGUCGGCUCUUUGCUACUUGAAGCUGUAGGUGGUUCCAAGGGUUGGGCUAUUUGCCCAUUAAUGCGGUACGUGAGCCGGGUUCAGAACGCCGUGAGACAC